UCUAACCUCUGAGCUAAGCAGGC
rnacentral:tRNA from 4 species